rnacentral:rRNA from 1 species
GAUGAACGCUGGCGGCGUGCCUAAUACAUGCAAGUCGAGCGAACAGACGAGGAGCUUGCUCCUCUGACGUUAGCGGCGGACGGGUGAGUAACACGUGGAUAACCUACCUAUAAGACUGGGAUAACUUCGGGAAACCGGAGCUAAUACCGGAUAAUAUAUUGAACCGCAUGGUUCAAUAGUGAAAGGCGGUUUUGCUGUCACUUAUAGAUGGAUCCGCGCCGCAUUAGCUAGUUGGUAAGGUAACGGCUUACCAAGGCAACGAUGCGUAGCCGACCUGAGAGGGUGAUCGGCCACACUGGAACUGAGACACGGUCCAGACUCCUACGGGAGGCAGCAGUAGGGAAUCUUCCGCAAUGGGCGAAAGCCUGACGGAGCAACGCCGCGUGAGUGAUGAAGGUCUUCGGAUCGUAAAACUCUGUUAUUAGGGAAGAACAAAUGUGUAAGUAACUAUGCACGUCUUGACGGCACCUAAUCAGAAAGCCACGGCUAACUACGUG